UCUGUCCUACACACCCCUAGUCCCCCUUUUUUAAAUAUAAUGUUAAUAAUUUUUUUGCUGUCCCUGGAGAAAACACGAGCCAAGCGCAGCCCCAGGGCAGCAGUGCUGCAGUAUGAGGGUGUUUAUCUGUGUACAAGUACGUCUCCAGAGGCUCAGAGCUGAUAAGGUUAUUUUGAAGCAGUUUAUGGAACGCUUUGUAAAGAGAGUGAGUUACUCAUAACUGCAGAGCCCUGGCUCUCCUGCCCUGGCCCAGAGCUCAGGGAUUCGGGAUCUCUGCAGGAAUUAUUCUAAAGGACUGUGCUGCAGCCUGGGAUUUAUGUGCUGCUGGGAUUUAUGUGCUCCUUUUUCUUCGUCCUGCUCAGUUUUUAUAAGCUCCAUGUUUUAGAGCUGUGCACCUCAUCCAGCUCUGCGAGCCCAAGCUCUAAAAAUAAAUUAAUCUGUUUCUCGGUCUCAAGGAUUUUGAUGGUUUUAAAGUAACAGUAACUGGAGGUAACUUUGCAGCUGUAGAAUGAAAUGACAUGAGCAGUAGUUUGAUGACUGUUUUGGCUGUUAGGGCUGCAGAGCAGCACACAGACUGUGUUUUGGAGGCCGUGUUCUCUGGUGAUGUCAGUCCCUCUACUUGGCAUCCCUUCCCCCCAACAGCACCACUUGUCUUGGUCCAUGUCACCUUGCUGAGCAAGGCACAUUGAAAAUGGGACUUCUUCCCUUUGGCUUGGGGCUUUAUAAGUCUUGCAUUGCUUAAUAGCAGCCUGAACAUGAUCAGUUUAUUAAUUAGGAUAUAAAAUAUCCAGGAGAAAUCAGCAUUUCCUCUGUGCAAAUGAAACCUGUAAGCAAUUACGCACUGCUGUGCAGUAAAAAAAAUGUGUAUCCACCAAGUGAGUGUGUCCAGAGAUCCCAUGAUCACAGUCUGAUCCACCAGAUGGCCUUUGGAAUAUUGUGACAAUAGUCCUUUACACUGUGGCUGCGGUUCUUGAAGCUGGCUGCAGAAUUCCCAUCAGAAGACAUUUUUCUAGUCACAGCUUCCCCAGUGAUAAAAGCUGUAACUAAUUUCAAGCAGAAGCCGUGGGACAGCAAGGCAAGAGCGAGCCGCAGGAGCGGCCUCUUCAGGCUCAGGAGUGGAAUGGCGAGGCAAGAGCGAGCUUCAGCAUUGGCGGCUUGAGCUCAGCAGUGGAGCAUCAAGGCACCAGGUCUGGAGCUCCUCAGGCCUGUGUGUGUCGUCAUCCAUUGGCAGAAGCCGUGGGACGACGAGGCAAGAGCGGCAGCGUCUUCGAGCUCACGAGUGGAACGGCGAGGCAAGAGCGAGCUCGGAGCUGAAGAGGGACACAAGGGGCCCUCUGGGAAAAGGGCUUUUCCAGGCCAGGGCACCUUCAGGGUGCGGCGGCCGGCUUUGCGCUGGGCGACCUCCCUGCGUGCAGGGCUGGUCCUUGCUGUGCUUGGCCUUUUGCCCUUAUGCUCCUUUGACUGCCCGGAGAGAGGGGUAACCCUGUAAAGGAGGAUGUGAGCCCCUGUCUCUGCACCACAGGGGGAAACGGAGCUCUCCCAGCCCCCAGCCCAGCUACCCUGUAAGCAGGGCAGGGCUUUUCCCCAGCCCCUGCUAUCCGUUCCCUUAGCCAGCUGCUGUCCAUCCUUAGUGAGUGAUCAUGCUCCCAGCCAACUAUCCUGUAUUUUCACACUGUGUUUAUAUUUCCUGGAAGUCUGUAAUCAUCUUCUUAUCUUCCCCCUAACAUCUUCCUAAUGCCAAGCUGCUGUUUUCUUGCUUAUCACCUCCCAGUCACACUAUCCUUGCACAACAUUCCGUCUGCUGCCUUUCUGUUACAAAAUUUGAUAUUUGAGAACGUUUGGAGGAGCCUGCAGCUCCUACAUUAUUAAGUGAAUCUCCCUCCAACUUCAGAAACAUUGGCUAAGAUUUCUGGCCUAGGUUCAGCUCCUCUCAGAGGUUUUAAGCAGUGUUCUGAAAUGAGACUUGUGAAAAAAAAAUAAAGCAAUGAAGAAGAAA